rfam:Picea glauca, whole genome shotgun sequence.
AUACAUUUCUUGGCCUUUUGGAUAAGAUGAAGUGUAGUACAUUCUUAUCAGUUUAAUAUCUGAUACGUGGUUCAUAGAACUACAUGGUAUUAAAUGUGUUUUUCUAGGGGGAGAGCCCAUUGAUCGGUAGCUUUUUGUCGAGGCUCUGACACAUUGCUUGUGCACUACACUACAACACAUGCUAUGCACACCCC